rnacentral:tRNA from 1 species
GGCAGCGGGGCUUAGUGGGUAGAGCACAGGCCCGGGAGUAAAAAGGACCUGGGUUCUAAUCCCGGCUCUGCCA